GCGUGAUUACAGAAUUCCGUGAAUCAUCGAGUCUUUGAACGCACAUUGCGCCCCCUGGUAUUCCGGGGGGCAUGCCUGUCCGAGCGUCAUUGCUGCCCAUCAAGCACGGCUUGUGUGUUGGGUCGUCGUCCCCUCUCCGGGGGGGACGGGCCCCAAAGGCAGCGGCGGCACCGCGUCCGAUCCUCGAGCGUAUGGGGCUUUGUCACCCGCUCUGUAGGCCCGGCCGGCGCUUGCCGAACGCAAAUCAAUCUUUUCCAGGUUGACCUCGGAUCAGGUAGGGAUACCCGCUGAACUUAAGCAUAUCAAUAAGCGGAGGA
rnacentral:rRNA from 1 species